rnacentral:rRNA from 2 species
UAGCAUAUCAAUAAGCGGAGGAAAAGAAACCAACAGGGAUUGCCCUAGUAACGGCGAGUGAAGCGGCAACAGCUCAAAUUUGAAAUCUGGCCCCCUUUGGGGGUCCGAGUUGUAAUUUGCAGAGGGUGCUUUGGCGUCGGCAGCGGUCUAAGUUCCUUGGAACAGGACAUCACAGAGGGUGAGAAUCCCGUACGUGGUCGCCUGCCUUCGCCGUGUAAAGCCCCUUCGACGAGUCGAGUUGUUUGGGAAUGCAGCUCUAAAUGGGAGGUAAAUUUCUUCUAAAGCUAAAUACUGGCCAGAGACCGAUAGCGCACAAGUAGAGUGAUCGAAAGAUGAAAAGCACUUUGGAAAGAGAGUCAAACAGCACGUGAAAUUGUUGAAAGGGAAGCGCUUGCAGCCAGACUUGCUCGUAGUUGCUCACCCGGGUUUGCCCGGGGCACUCUUCUGCGAGCAGGCCAGCAUCAGUUUGGGCGACCGGAUAAAGGCCUCUGUCAUGUAUCUUCCUUCGGGAUGACCUUAUAGGGGAGGCGUAAUGCGGCCAGCCCGGACUGAGGUCCGCGCAUCUGCUAGGAUGCUGGCGUAAUGGCUGUAAGCGGCCCGUCUUGAAACACGGACCAAGGAGUCUAACAUCUAUGCGAGUGUUUGGGUGUCAAGCCCGGGCGCGUAAUGAAAGUGAACGGAGGUGGGAACCCUCUCCGGGGGGUGCACCAUCGACCGAUCCUGAUGUCUUCGGAUGGAUUUGAGUAAGAGCAUAGCUGUUGGGACCCGAAAGAUGGUGAACUAUGCUUGAAUAGGGUGAAGCCAGAGGAAACUCUGGUGGAGGCUCGCAGCGGUUCUGACGUGCAAAUCGAUCGUCAAAUUUGGGCAUAGGGGCGAAAGACUAAUCGAAC